CUAGUGGCGGACGGGUGAGGAACACGUAAGAACCUACCCCUAGGAGGGGGACAACAACUGGAAACGGUUGCUAAUACCCCAUAUGCUGAGGAGCGAAACGGUGAAAACCGCCUAGGGACGGGCUUGCGUCUGAUUAGCUUGUUGGUGAGGUAAAUGCUUACCAAGGCAAUGAUCAGUAGCUGGUCUGAGAGGAUGAUCAGCCACACUGGGACUGAGACACGGCCCAGACUCCUACGGGAGGCAGCAGUGAGGAAUUUUCCGCAAUGGGCGAAAGCCUGACGGAGCAAUGCCGCGUGGAGGAUGAAAGCCUGUGGGUCGUAAACUCCUUUUCUCAGAGAAGAAGAUCUGACGGUAUCUGAGGAAUAAGCAUCGGCUAACUCCGUGCCAGCAGCCGCGGUAAUACGGAGGAUGCAAGCGUUAUCCGGAAUGAUUGGGCGUAAAGCGUCUGUAGGUGGUUUCAUAAGUCCACUGUCAAAGAUCAGGGCUUAACCCUGGGCAGGCAGUGGAAACUAUGAGGCUUGAGUACGGUAGGGGCAGAGGGAAUUCCCGGUGUAGCGGUGAAAUGCGUAGAGAUCGGGAAGAACACCAAUGGCGAAAGCACUCUGCUGGGCCGAAACUGACACUGAGAGACGAAAGCUAGGGGAGCAAAUGGGAUUAGAUACCCCAGUAGUCCUAGCCGUAAACGAUGGAUACUAAGUGCUGUCCGAUUCAAACCGUCCAGUACUGUAGCUAACGCGUGAAGUAUCCCGCCUGGGGAGUAUGCUCGCAAGAGUGAAACUCANAGGAAUUGACGGGGGCCCGCACAAGCGGUGGAGCAUGU
rnacentral:rRNA from 1 species